UGGGGAAUAUUGCACAAUGGGCGCAAGCCUGAUGCAGCCAUGCCGCGUGUAUGAAGAAGGCCUUCGGGUUGUAAAGUACUUUCAGCGGGGAGGAAGGGAGUAAAGUUAAUACCUUUGCUCAUUGACGUUACCCGCAGAAGAAGCACCGGCUAACUCCGUACCAGCAGCCGCGGUAAUACGGAGGGUGCAAGCGUUAAUCGGAAUUACUGGGCGUAAAGCGCACGCAGGCGGUUUGUUAAGUCAGAUGUGAAAUCCCCGGGCUCAACCUGGGAACUGCAUCUGAUACUGGCAAGCUUGAGUCUCGUAGAGGGGGGUAGAAUUCCAGGUGUAGCGGUGAAAUGCGUAGAGAUCUGGAGGAAUACCGGUGGCGAAGGCGGCCCCCUGGACGAAGACUGACGCUCAGGUGCGAAAGCGUGGGGAGCAAACAGG
rnacentral:rRNA from 1 species